GAUGAACGCUGGCGGCGUGCCUAAUACAUGCAAGUCGAGCGAACGGACGAGAAGCUUGCUUCUCUGAUGUUAGCGGCGGACGGGUGAGUAACACGUGGAUAACCUACCUAUAAGACUGGGAUAACUUCGGGAAACCGGAGCUAAUACCGGAUGAUAUUUUGAACCGCAUGGUUCAAAAGUGAAAGACGGUCUUGCUGUCACUUAUAGAUGGAUCCGCGCUGCAUUAGCUAGUUGGUAAGGUAACGGCUUACCAAGGCAACGAUGCAUAGCCGACCUGAGAGGGUGAUCGGCCACACUGGAACUGAGACACGGUCCAGACUCCUACGGGAGGCAGCAGUAGGGAAUCUUCCGCAAUGGGCGAAAGCCUGACGGAGCAACGCCGCGUGAGUGAUGAAGGUCUUCGGAUCGUAAAAUUCUGUUAUUAGGGAAGAACAUAUGUGUAAGUAACUGUGCACAUCUUGACGGUACCUAAUCAGAAAGCCACGGCUAACUACGUG
rnacentral:rRNA from 1 species